UUUAUAAGCCUGGGCAAGGCAAGGAGAUGUACACUUUACAGGAGAGCCCAUUGUACCAAGAGGACUGGCUGGGACUGCAGCAAAUGGACCGUGACAAGAAACUGCAUUUUCUAACUGCUGAUGGAGAUCACUUGCAGUUUACAGACGAGUUCUUUGAUGAACAGAUCUUACCAUUUCUGAAGUAGACAUGGGUUAUGGGUUGUGUUGGCUUGAGAAGAAUGAUACACUAAUUAGAUGAUAGAUUUUUUAGCUGCCUUGUGAGUUUUGCGUCAUUGAGGAAAUUGUGUGCUAAUGUAGACUUGUAACUAAAAAAACGAUGUAGAGUGAUCCAAAAUGUAAGCCUUUUUUUUUUUUUUUUUAAAUAUAUAUAUAAUCAACUCCUCAGUCUGUUAAAUUGUAACUCGGGAGAACUUUCCAUCGCUGUGCUGUAAGGGGGUUUGGUUGCAAUUUAUAAUUGUGCCUUUUACAAAAUGAAUAUGGAAUGUUAGGAUGUGAAAUAACAAACCUGGGGUUGCACUUUACAUAAUUGUAGUAGUAAGGAGGAGAGGGCAAGUGAA